rnacentral:rRNA from 1 species
UACGUAGGGUGCAAGCGUUUGUCCGGAAUUAUUGGGCGUAAAGAGCUCGUAGGCGGUCUGUCGCGUCGGCUGUGAAAACCCGGGGCUCAACCCCGGGCCUGCAGUCGAUACGGGCAGACUAGAGUGCGGUAGGGGAGACUGGAAUUCCUGGUGUAGCGGUGAAAUGCGCAGAUAUCGGGAGGAACACCGGUGGCGAAGGCGGCGAUCUGGGUCGAUACUGACGCUGAGGUGCGAAAGCGUGGGGAGCAAACAGGGAUU